AGAGUUUGAUCCUGGCUCAGGAUGAACGCUGGCGGCGUGCUUAACACAUGCAAGUCGAGCGAAGCACUUAAGUUUGAUUCUUCGGAUGAAGACUUUUGUGACUGAGCGGCGGACGGGUGAGUAACGCGUGGGUAACCUGCCUCAUACAGGGGGAUAACAGUUAGAAAUGACUGCUAAUACCGCAUAAGACCACGGUACCGCAUGGUACAGUGGUAAAAACUCCGGUGGUAUGAGAUGGACCCGCGUCUGAUUAGGUAGUUGGUGGGGUAACGGCCUACCAAGGCGACGAUCAGUAGCCGACCUGAGAGGGUGAUCGGCCACAUUGGAACUGAGACACGGUCCAAACUCCUACGGGAGGCAGCAGUGGGGAAUAUUGCACAAUGGGCGAAAGCCUGAUGCAGCCAACGCCGCGUGAGCGAUGAAGGCCUUCGGGUCGUAAAGCUCUGUCCUCAAGGAAGAUAAUGACCGUACUUGAGGAGGAAGCCCCGGCUAACUACUUGCCAUCAGCCGCGGUAAUACGUAGGGGGCUAGGUUUUUCGGGAUUUUCUGGGCGGUAAGGGGUGCGUGGGUGGUUUUUUAAGGUCAGGGGUGAAAGGCUUCGGGCUCAACCGUAAUAAGCUCUUGAAACUGGGAACUUGAGGGCAGGAGAGGUAAGGGGAAUUCCUAGUGUAGGGGUGAAAUGCGUAGAUAUUAGUAGGAACCCCAGUGGGGAAGGCGGCUUACUGGACGGUAACUGACGCUGAGGCUCGAAAGCGUGGGGAGCAAAACAGGAUUAGAUACCCUGGUAGUCCACGCCGUAAAACGAUGAAUACUAGGUGUCGGGGCACAAAAGUGCUUCGGUGCCGCAGCAAACGCAUUAAGUAUUCCACCUGGGGAGUACGUUCGCAAGAAUGAAACUCAAAGGAAUUGACGGGGACCCGCACAAGCGGUGGAGCAUGUGGUUUAAUUCGAAGCAACGCGAAGAACCUUACCAGGCCUUGACAUCCUGCUGACCGUUCCUUAACCGGAACCUCUCUUCGGAGCAGCAGAGACAGGUGGUGCAUGGUUGUCGUCAGCUCGUGUCGUGAGAUGUUGGGUUAAGUCCCGCAACGAGCGCAACCCUUGUGAUAUGUUACUAACAUUGAGUUGAGGACUCAUAUCAGACUGCCGGUGAUAAACCGGAGGAAGGUGGGGAUGACGUCAAAUCAUCAUGCCCCUUAUGGCCUGGGCUACACACGUACUACAAUGGCGUCUACAAAGAGUGGCAAGCCUGUGAAGGCAAGCGAAUCUCAUAAAGGACGUCUCAGUUCGGAUUGAAGUCUGCAACCCGACUUCAUGAAGCUGGAAUCGCUAGUAAUCGCGAAUCAGCAUGUCGCGGUGAAUACGUUCUCGGGCCUUGCACACACCGCCCGUCA
rnacentral:rRNA from 1 species